rnacentral:piRNA from 1 species
UAAUUUAGGAUGGCUAGCCUCAGAUUGU